rnacentral:rRNA from 1 species
GAUGAUCCCAGCUUGCUGGGGGAUUAGUGGCGAACGGGUGASYAACACGUGAGUAACCUGCCCUUGACUCUGGGAUAAGCCUGGGAAACUGGGUCUAAUACCGGAUAUGACUCCUCAUCGCAUGGUGGGGGGUGGAAAGCUUUUGUGGUUUUGGAUGGACUCGCGGCCUAUCAGCUUGUUGGUGGGGUAAUGGCCUACCAAGGCGACGACGGGUAGCCGGCCUGAGAGGGUGACCGGCCACACUGGGACUGAGACACGGCCCAGACUCCUACGGGAGGCAGCAGUGGGGAAUAUUGCACAAUGGGCGCAAGCCUGAUGCAGCGACGCCGCGUGAGGGAUGACGGCCUUCGGGUUGUAAACCUCUUUCAGUAGGGAAGAAGCGAAAGUGACGGUACCUGCAGAAGAAGCGCCGGCUAACUACGUGCCAGCAGCCGCGGUAAUACGUAGGGCGCAAGCGUUAUCCGGAAUUAUUGGGCGUAAAGAGCUCGUAGGCGGUUUGUCGCGUCUGCUGUGAAAGACCGGGGCUCAACUCCGGUUCUGCAGUGGGUACGGGCAGACUAGAGUGCAGUAGGGGAGACUGGAAUUCCUGGUGUAGCGGUGAAAUGCGCAGAUAUCAGGAGGAACACCGAUGGCGAAGGCAGGUCUCUGGGCUGUAACUGACGCUGAGGAGCGAAAGCAUGGGGAGCGAACAGGAUUAGAUACCCUGGUAGUCCAUGCCGUAAACGUUGGGCACUAGGUGUGGGGGACAUUCCACGUUUUCCGCGCCGUAGCUAACGCAUUAAGUGCCCCGCCUGGGGAGUACGGCCGCAAGGCUAAAACUCAAAGGAAUUGACGGGGGCCCGCACAAGCGGCGGAGCAUGCGGAUUAAUUCGAUGCAACGCGAAGAACCUUACCAAGGCUUGACAUGAACCGGAAAGACCUGGAAACAGGUGCCCCGCUUGCGGUCGGUUUACAGGUGGUGCAUGGUUUGUCGUCAGCUCGUGUCGUGAGAUGUUGGUUAAGUCCCGCACGAGCGCACCCUCGUUCUWUGUUGCAGCGGUUUCGCCGGGGACUCAUAGGAGACUGCUGGGAUUCACUCGCAGAAAGGUGGGGGAACG